AACUUUUGACAAUGGAUCUCUUGGCUCUCGCAUCGAUGAAGAACGCAGCGAAAUGCGAUACGUACUGUGAAUUGCAGAAUUCAGUGAAUCAUCGAAUCUUUGAACGCAUAUUGCGCUCUUUGGUAUUCCGAAGAGCAUGCUUGUUUGAGUAUCAGCAAACACCUCAACCUCCUCUUGUUUUUUCAAAAGGAGGGUGGACUUGAGCUAUCCCAACAACCUUCACCGGUAGGCGGGCGGCUUGAAAUGCAGGUGCAGCUGGACUUUUAUCUGAGCUAAAAGCAUAUCUAUUUAGUCCUCGUCAAACAGGAUUAUUACUAUUGCUGCAGCUAACAUAAAGGAUAAUUGUCCUCAUUGCUGACUGAUGCAGGAUUUUACGACACUUUAUGUGUUGUUCAACUCGAUCUCAAAUCAAGUAAGACUACCCGCUGAACUUAAGCAUAUCAAUAAGCGGAGGCU
rnacentral:misc_RNA from 1 species